GCUUGCUGGGUGGAUCAGUGGCGAACGGGUGAGUAACACGUGAGCAACCUGCCCUUCACUUCGGGAUAAGCCUUGGAAACGGGGUCUAAUACCGGAUAUGAGCGCUCAUCGCAUGGUGGGUGUUGGAAAGUUUUUCGGUGAGGGAUGGGCUCGCGGCCUAUCAGCUUGUUGGUGGGGUAACGGCCUACCAAGGCGUCGACGGGUAGCCGGCCUGAGAGGGCGACCGGCCACACUGGGACUGAGACACGGCCCAGACUCCUACGGGAGGCAGCAGUGGGGAAUAUUGCACAAUGGGCGAAAGCCUGAUGCAGCGACGCCGCGUGAGGGAUGACGGCCUUCGGGUUGUAAACCUCUUUCAGCAGGGAAGAAGCGCAAGUGACGGUACCUGCAGAAGAAGCGCCGGCUAACUACGUGCCAGCAGCCGCGGUAAUACGUAGGGCGCAAGCGUUGUCCGGAAUUAUUGGGCGUAAAGAGCUCGUAGGCGGUCUGUCGCGUCUGGUGUGAAAUCCCAUGGCUCAACUGUGGGCUUGCAUCGGGUACGGGCAGACUAGAGUGCUGUAGGGGAGACUGGAAUUCCUGGUGUAGCGGUGGAAUGCGCAGAUAUCAGGAGGAACACCGAUGGCGAAGGCAGGUCUCUGGGCAGUUACUGACGCUGAGGAGCGAAAGCAUGGGGAGCGAACAGGAUUAGAUACCCUGGUAGUCCAUGCCGUAAACGUUGGGCACUAGGUGUGGGGCCAGUUCCACUGGUUCUGUGCCGUAGCUAACGCAUUAAGUGCCCCGCCUGGGGAGUACGGCCGCAAGGCUAAAACUCAAAGGAAUUGACGGGGGCCCGCACAAGCGGC
rnacentral:rRNA from 1 species